CCUACAGGGGGCAGCAGUGGGGAAUAUUGGACAAUGGGGGGAACCCUGAUCCAGCCAUGCCGCGUGUGUGAAGAAGGCCCUCGGGUUGUAAAGCACUUUCAGUGAGGAAGAACGCCUGGUGGUUAAUACCCAUCAGGAAAGACAUCACUCACAGAAGAAGCACCGGCUAACUCCGUGCCAGCAGCCGCGGUAAUACGGAGGGUGCGAGCGUUAAUCGGAAUUACUGGGCGUAAAGCGCGCGUAGGUGGCUUGAUAAGCCGGUUGUGAAAGCCCCGGGCUCAACCUGGGAACGGCAUCCGGAACUGUCAAGCUAGAGUGCAGGAGAGGAAGGUAGAAUUCCCGGUGUAGCGGUGAAAUGCGUAGAGAUCGGGAGGAAUACCAGUGGCGAAGGCGGCCUUCUGGACUGACACUGACACUGAGGUGCGAAAGCGUGGGUAGCAAACAGGAUUAGAUACCCGAGUAGUC
rnacentral:rRNA from 1 species